UACGUAGGGUGCAAGCGUUAAUCGGAAUUACUGGGCGUAAAGCGUGCGCAGGCGGUUGUGCAAGACCGAUGCGAAAUCCCCGGGCUUAACCUGGGAAUGGCAUUGGUGACUGCACGGCUAGAGUGUGUCAGAGGGGGGUAGAAUUCCACGUGUAGCAGUGAAAUGCGUAGAGAUGUGGAGGAAUACCGAUGGCGAAGGCAGCCCCCUGGGAUAACACUGACGCUCAUGCACGAAAGCGUGGGGAGCAAACAGG
rnacentral:rRNA from 1 species